CAGCCGCCGCGGGAAUACGUAGGGUGCGAGCGUUAAUCGGAAUUACUGGGCGUAAAGCGGGCGCAGACGGUUACUUAAGCAGGAUGUGAAAUCCCCGGGCUCAACCUGGGAAUUGCGUUCUGAACUGGGUGGCUAGAGUGUGUCAGAGGGGGGUAGAAUUCCACGUGUAGCAGUGAAAUGCGUAGAGAUGUGGAGGAAUACCGAUGGCGAAGGCAGCCCCCUGGGAUAGCACUGACGUUCAUGCCCGAAAGCGUGGGUAGCAAACAGGAUUAGAUACCCGCGUAGUCCCUGUCUCUUAUAC
rnacentral:rRNA from 1 species